UAUCAGUCAGGUAACUAAACACAGCGUCCGAUCAACCAGGAGGUGAAGGCGAGCAGGAGCAUGAAAAAAGUCCUCCUGAACGCAGAUAAGUGAGGAGUAGCAUCUCACUUCAUAAUGGAUCCUGGGUUGUCAUAAUCUGCAAAACUCUUUGGGUGGGAGUGGUCUUUUCCCACUUGCUCCUGCAGUUCACACAU